GUAACAAGGUCUCCGUUGGUGAACCAGCGGAGGGAUCAUUACCGAGUUUACAACUCCCAAACCCCUGUGAACAUACCACUUGUUGCCUCGGCGGAUCAGCCCGCUCCCGGUAAAACGGGACGGCCCGCCAGAGGACCCCUAAACUCUGUUUCUAUAUGUAACUUCUGAGUAAAACCAUAAAUAAAUCAAAACUUUCAACAACGGAUCUCUUGGUUCUGGCAUCGAUGAAGAACGCAGCAAAAUGCGAUAAGUAAUGUGAAUUGCAGAAUUCAGUGAAUCAUCGAAUCUUUGAACGCACAUUGCGCCCGCCAGUAUUCUGGCGGGCAUGCCUGUUCGAGCGUCAUUUCAACCCUCAAGCACAGCUUGGUGUUGGGACUCGCGUUAAUUCGCGUUCCUCAAAUUGAUUGGCGGUCACGUCGAGCUUCCAUAGCGUAGUAGUAAAACCCUCGUUACUGGUAAUCGUCGCGGCCACGCCGUUAAACCCCCAACUUCUGAAUGUUGACCUCGGAUCAGGUAGGAAUACCCGCUG
rnacentral:rRNA from 1 species